rnacentral:rRNA from 1 species
UACGUAGGGUGCGAGCGUUGCCCGGAUUUAUUGGGCGUAAAGGGCGCGUAGGCGGCUCUGCACGUCCGUUGUGAAAUCGCCCGGCUCAACUGGGCGGGGUCAGCGGAUACGGCGGAGCUCGAGCAAGCUAGGGGGCAAUGGAAUUCCCGGUGUAGUGGUGGAAUGCGUAGAUAUCGGGGAGGAACACCAGUGGCGAAGGCGGCUGCCUGGCCCGAUACUGACGCUGAGGUGCGAAAGCGUGGGGAGCAAACAGG